rnacentral:rRNA from 1 species
GGGUUGUGAGGUUAAGCGACUAAGCGUACACGGUGGAUGCCCUGGCAGUCAGAGGCGAUGAAGGACGUGCUAAUCUGCGAUAAGCGUCGGUAAGGUGAUAUGAACCGUUAUAACCGGCGAUUUCCGAAUGGGGAAACCCAGUGUGAUUCGUCACACUAUCAUUAACUGAAUCCAUAGGUUAAUGAGGCGAACCGGGGGAACUGAAACAUCUAAGUACCCCGAGGAAAAGAAAUCAACCGAGAUUCCCCCAGUAGCGGCGAGCGAACGGGGAGGAGCCCAGAGCCUGAAUCAGUGUGUGUGUUAGUGGAAGCGUCUGGAAAGGCGCGCGAUACAGGGUGACAGCCCCGUACACAAAAAUGCACAUGCUGUGAGCUCGAUGAGUAGGGCGGGACACGUGGUAUCCUGUCUGAAUAUGGGGGGACCAUCCUCCAAGGCUAAAUACUCCUGACUGACCGAUAGUGAACCAGUACCGUGAGGGAAAGGCGAAAAGAACCCCGGCGAGGGGAGUGAAAAAGAACCUGAAACCGUGUACGUACAAGCAGUGGGAGCACGCUUAGGCGUGUGACUGCGUACCUUUUGUAUAAUGGGUCAGCGACUUAUAUUCUGUAGCAAGGUUAACCGAAUAGGGGAGCCGAAGGGAAACCGAGUCUUAACUGGGCGUUAAGUUGCAGGGUAUAGACCCGAAACCCGGUGAUCUAGCCAUGGGCAGGUUGAAGGUUGGGUAACACUAACUGGAGGACCGAACCGACUAAUGUUGAAAAAUUAGCGGAUGACUUGUGGCUGGGGGUGAAAGGCCAAUCAAACCGGGAGAUAGCUGGUUCUCCCCGAAAGCUAUUUAGGUAGCGCCUCGUGAAUUCAUCUCCGGGGGUAGAGCACUGUUUCGGCAAGGGGGUCAUCCCGACUUACCAACCCGAUGCAAACUGCGAAUACCGGAGAAUGUUAUCACGGGAGACACACGGCGGGUGCUAACGUCCGUCGUGAAGAGGGAAACAACCCAGACCGCCAGCUAAGGUCCCAAAGUCAUGGUUAAGUGGGAAACGAUGUGGGAAGGCCCAGACAGCCAGGAUGUUGGCUUAGAAGCAGCCAUCAUUUAAAGAAAGCGUAAUAGCUCACUGGUCGAGUCGGCCUGCGCGGAAGAUGUAACGGGGCUAAACCAUGCACCGAAGCUGCGGCAGCGACGCUUAUGCGUUGUUGGGUAGGGGAGCGUUCUGUAAGCCUGUGAAGGUGUGCUGUGAGGCAUGCUGGAGGUAUCAGAAGUGCGAAUGCUGACAUAAGUAACGAUAAAGCGGGUGAAAAGCCCGCUCGCCGGAAGACCAAGGGUUCCUGUCCAACGUUAAUCGGGGCAGGGUGAGUCGACCCCUAAGGCGAGGCCGAAAGGCGUAGUCGAUGGGAAACAGGUUAAUAUUCCUGUACUUGGUGUUACUGCGAAGGGGGGACGGAGAAGGCUAUGUUGGCCGGGCGACGGUUGUCCCGGUUUAAGCGUGUAGGCUGGUUUUCCAGGCAAAUCCGGAAAAUCAAGGCUGAGGCGUGAUGACGAGGCACUACGGUGCUGAAGCAACAAAUGCCCUGCUUCCAGGAAAAGCCUCUAAGCAUCAGGUAACAUCAAAUCGUACCCCAAACCGACACAGGUGGUCAGGUAGAGAAUACCAAGGCGCUUGAGAGAACUCGGGUGAAGGAACUAGGCAAAAUGGUGCCGUAACUUCGGGAGAAGGCACGCUGAUAUGUAGGUGAAGUCCCUCGCGGAUGGAGCUGAAAUCAGUCGAAGAUACCAGCUGGCUGCAACUGUUUAUUAAAAACACAGCACUGUGCAAACACGAAAGUGGACGUAUACGGUGUGACGCCUGCCCGGUGCCGGAAGGUUAAUUGAUGGGGUUAGCGCAAGCGAAGCUCUUGAUCGAAGCCCCGGUAAACGGCGGCCGUAACUAUAACGGUCCUAAGGUAGCGAAAUUCCUUGUCGGGUAAGUUCCGACCUGCACGAAUGGCGUAAUGAUGGCCAGGCUGUCUCCACCCGAGACUCAGUGAAAUUGAACUCGCUGUGAAGAUGCAGUGUACCCGCGGCAAGACGGAAAGACCCCGUGAACCUUUACUAUAGCUUGACACUGAACAUUGAGCCUUGAUGUGUAGGAUAGGUGGGAGGCUUUGAAGUGUGGACGCCAGUCUGCAUGGAGCCGACCUUGAAAUACCACCCUUUAAUGUUUGAUGUUCUAACGUUGACCCGUAAUCCGGGUUGCGGACAGUGUCUGGUGGGUAGUUUGACUGGGGCGGUCUCCUCCUAAAGAGUAACGGAGGAGCACGAAGGUUGGCUAAUCCUGGUCGGACAUCAGGAGGUUAGUGCAAUGGCAUAAGCCAGCUUGACUGCGAGCGUGACGGCGCGAGCAGGUGCGAAAGCAGGUCAUAGUGAUCCGGUGGUUCUGAAUGGAAGGGCCAUCGCUCAACGGAUAAAAGGUACUCCGGGGAUAACAGGCUGAUACCGCCCAAGAGUUCAUAUCGACGGCGGUGUUUGGCACCUCGAUGUCGGCUCAUCACAUCCUGGGGCUGAAGUAGGUCCCAAGGGUAUGGCUGUUCGCCAUUUAAAGUGGUACGCGAGCUGGGUUUAGAACGUCGUGAGACAGUUCGGUCCCUAUCUGCCGUGGGCGCUGGAGAACUGAGGGGGGCUGCUCCUAGUACGAGAGGACCGGAGUGGACGCAUCACUGGUGUUCGGGUUGUCAUGCCAAUGGCACUGCCCGGUAGCUAAAUGCGGAAGAGAUAAGUGCUGAAAGCAUCUAAGCACGAAACUUGCCCCGAGAUGAGUUCUCCCUGACCCUUUAAGGGUCCUGAAGGAACGUUGAAGACGACGACGUUGAUAGGCCGGGUGUGUAAGCGCAGCGAUGCGUUGAGCUAACCGGUACUAAUGAACCGUGAGGCUUAACCUUACAACGCCGAAGCUGUU